GAGAGAGGUCUAAAAACAACAAAGACUGCUAACCUUUGCUCCCAUGGUUAGACUCCAUGGCUCACUCG
rnacentral:tRNA from 1 species